CAGCUUUGCGCAUCCUUUGGUAAAGUUAGUACUGUUAAGGUAGGAAAACCAGAGGCUUUGGGAUUCUUGAGGUAAGGAGGAGGAUUUGACAGGGAAAUCUGGAGACAUCUAAGCAAGGCAACAUUGGAGAGGCUGUAGCAGCAGAACUCCGGGCGCUGUGCCAAUUGCUCCUACUGUGCUAACGACAGCAGGAGGACAAAGCCUCAACAAAGCCCAGACACCUCUACCUUUUCAGAAACAAAUAAAAGGCUUCCUUGUUCAAGAAGCAAUACAUUCGAACUCUGCCACUUAAGCAGGUGUAAAAUUAGAACGACAGAGGGGUCUGGAAUAUUUCUGCCACCAGCUCUUUGACACCUGUUGA
rnacentral:lncRNA from 1 species